CAGACCCCGCUAAGUUCUCCGUCUUUCUGAGCCGAAGAACGCCCUGCUUCGGCGCCCUAAUUUUUUCCGUGUGUCACACACACUGUGACAGCGAUCGCAGCGCUUUGGUAUCAAUGCGCCAUCUCGUUCUCUCAGACUCUAAGGUCUGUUUUACCUCAGAUCAUAGAUGGAGACAAAAUACUGCAAUGAGAGGAUGAGGAUGGAGGGGAGGUGAAAAGAGAGGAAGGGCAACGUGGACAAGCCAGACAGGGGAUCAUGGUGGUGUCAGAGAGGAGGAGGAGGAGAACGAUGGAGAUUAGUCAUCACACCUGGGAGGAAGACACUUCCCUCCUCCCUGUCCUGACCACGCAAAGACACAUUUAAAACUCUGUAAUUAAUCAACAUGAGGCAGGGGACACGUGGGAAGACUUUGGUUUUCAACGGGCUUCAUUGCCACGCAUGCAAACCGGAAACAGAAGAGCUCGAGAAAGUGAGUGGACUAAAAACAGCAG